GGCUGUGAUAUCUGUCACUGUGACAUCUGUCACCCCACUGACUGCCAGAAUUGAUUCGACUGAUCUGAUUGGCUAGGUGAAUGUCCCCUUCCUCCCUCACUGCUCCAUGUGCGUCCCUCCCAAAGCCACGUACUUGGUCGAAGAGGAUGACGUUCCCCGAAUAGAGGAGGAUGGUCUUUGGUCAAGGAUAUACGAGUAGCUGUGCUCCCCUGCUAGAACCUCCAAACAAGCUCUCAAGGAUUUCCUCAUUCUUAAUAGUUGAAUAGUAUUCCAUUGUGUACAUGAAACCACAUUUUCUGU
rnacentral:snRNA from 1 species